CUUGGACAACUCCCUCAGGUCAAUAAACCGACACACAUCUCACUGCAGGUGAACAGUACAGUAGGUAGCGGUAAUGCACCAUAACUUUGGAUGCCAACCGCCGGUAAACACCACCGAAGAAGAAGACGAAUCAACUCAGGCCUGUCAAAACCCAGAAGGGAAAUGUAAGGGGGCUUGGAAGAAGUCCCCAGCCUCUGUCUCCAGCAUUCCCGAACUCUUCCACUUGACUGGCUUCUUGGAACAGAACAGUUUUAAAGGUCCAAUGCAGCUGUUUUUAUUUCAAUAUCAAAUAAUUUCUGGGUAACAAUCAUGUACCUUACGGUGAUUGUUUUCAAUUAAAAUGGUCAAAAAGAAACAAAAAUAGCUUAUUUUUAUUGUUAAAAUAUCACAUUAUUAUUACAACCUAAUAGUGUGAAAAGUUAUAUAGAACACAGGAAAAUCACAGUCUUUACUGCACUGGGUCUUUACCAGUUCUCUGCUCAGUGUUCCAUGAGUUUAGGG
rnacentral:lncRNA from 8 species